rnacentral:rRNA from 1 species
CUACGGAGGGUGCAAGCGUUAUCCGGAAUCACUGGGUUUAAAGGGUGCGUAGGCGGCUCAAUCAGUCAGGGGUGAAAUCUUGCAGCUUAACUGUAAAAUUGCCUUUGAUACUGUUGAGCUUGAAUUAGGUUGAGGUUGGCGGAAUGUGACAUGUAGCGGUGAAAUGCAUAGAUAUGUCAUAGAACACCAAUUGCGAAGGCAGCUGGCUAGACCUUAAUUGACGCUGAGGCACGAAAGCGUGGGGAGCGAACAGGAUUAGAAACCCCGGUAGUCC